rnacentral:rRNA from 1 species
UACGAAGGGGCUAGCGUUGUUCGGAAUUACUGGGCGUAAAGCGCACGUAGGCGGACAUUUAAGUCAGGGGUGAAAUCCUGGAGCUCAACUCCAGAACUGCCCUUGAUACUGGGAGCCUUGAGUUCGGAGAGGUGAGUGGAACUGCGAGUGUAGAGGUGAAAUUCGUAGAUAUUCGCAAGAACACCAGCGGCGAAGGCGGCUCACUGGCCCGGUACUGACGCUGAGGUGCGAAAGCG